rnacentral:rRNA from 1 species
UACGUAGGGGGGCUAGCGUUGUCCGGAAUCAUUGGGCGUAAAGCGCGCGUAGGUGGCUUCGUAAGUCCGUUGUGAAAGUCAAAGGCUCAACCUUUGAAAGCCGAUGGAUACUGCGGAGCUAGAGUACGGAAGAGGCGAGUGGAAUUCCUGGUGUAGCGGUGGAAUGCGCAGAUAGUCAGGAGGAACACCAAUAGCGAAGGCAGCUCGCUGGGACGUUACUGACACUGAGGCGCGAAAGCGUGGGGAGCGAACAGG